rnacentral:rRNA from 1 species
AUUGAACGCUGGCGGCAGGCCUAACACAUGCAAGUCGAGCGGUUGACGGGAGCUUGCUCCCUGAUUCAGCGGCGGACGGGUGAGUAAUGCCUAGGAAUCUGCCUAUUAGUGGGGGACAACGUUUCGAAAGGAACGCUAAUACCGCAUACGUCCUACGGGAGAAAGCAGGGGACCUUCGGGCCUUGCGCUAAUAGAUGAGCCUAGGUCGGAUUAGCUUGUUGGUGAGGUAAUGGCUCACCAAGGCGACGAUCCGUAACUGGUCUGAGAGGAUGAUCAGUCACACUGGAACUGAGACACGGUCCAGACUCCUACGGGAGGCAGCAGUGGGGAAUAUUGGACAAUGGGCGAAAGCCUGAUCCAGCCAAGCCGCGUGUGUGAAGAAGGUCUUCGGAUUGUAAAGCACUUUAAGUUGGGAGGAAGGGUUGUAGAUUAAUACUCUGCAAUUUUGACGUUACCGACAGAAUAAGCACCGGCUAACUCUGUGCCAGCAGCCGCUGUAA